AAUGACGAUGAAGACAAACUUGCCCUCACUGAAUUUUCAAAGAAGAAAAUUUUGAGGAAUAUUUAUUCAGAGUCAUU